rnacentral:snRNA from 1 species
GUGCUCACUUCGGCAGCACAUAUACUAAAAUUGGAAUGAUACAGAGAGGAUUAGCAUGGCCCCUGUGCAAGGACGACACGCAAAUUUGUGAAGCGUUCUGUAUUUUU